rnacentral:rRNA from 1 species
AAGGUAGGAUUGGCGACUGGGGUGAAGUCGUAACAAGGUAGCCGUAGGAGAACCUGCGGCUGGAUCACCUCCUUUCUAUGGA